rnacentral:lncRNA from 1 species
AAUAGUACAACUCCCUGAACAUUAAUAAUAUUUAAUAUAAAAUGUAGGUACAGCUCAACACGUUGCCAUAUUUAUAAUAAUGGUUAAUUAUUAGCUUACAAAUAUCACGAUAUUGCAAAUACAAAAUAUUAUAUAACUUAUAGUCUUCCGUAUGUGAUAAUACUUUCCUCAUGCCCUAUCAAUAUAAUCAUAAGCACAUUUAGUAAGAUUUUUUGGUUUUUUAGUUAAAUAAAUUACAACGUAUGCUGUGACUUAGCAAGGAGGGAGGCAUAAAUAAAAUUGUAUCGCCACUUUGCUACAGAUUUACAAAGUUGGUGACCUUUUUUAAAAAACUAAACUAAACUUUAGAGAAAUAAUUUUAUAAGGAAGCUAUGUAAAAUCAGAGGCAUCGACAAAUCUACAACGGAGGAGGUAUGGAAGGAGGUCAAAAGCACAAAGAAAAUCUACCCCAACGAGCGGUUGAGAUACUUAUGCUUUGAUAAAUGUCCUAGGAAAAACACGGUCGUUUAUGUAAAGUUUUAGCUGAAUCGUUCGUACGCUGGUAUGGAUAAAUUGUUAGCGGCUUUCAGAAAGAAGGAUUGUUUUUAUCAAUUGACAUAUUAGCAGGAAUCACACUGAUUUUUGUGUCUGUAUCAACAAGGAAGUUUUCCCCAAAAUUCUUAUAGUAUAUCGAGUUUGCUUGCAUUCCCUGGCGCUAGUUCCAUAUCGUUGAUAGUAAUAGCAAAUGGCUUUGUCUGUCUUAUCGGUCUUUCUUAUAGAGCUUGCCGUGUAAGAAGACGUCGUUUGAUGUAUUUCCCCCUGUGUAAACAAACGAUACCUACUUUAUAUGGAUCUGUGAAAACAGGCUAUUCUAGUUGGAGUCGGAUUGGAAACGGAAGUGCUUUAAGGAAGAAACGUCUGCCUAAAAAACAAGAAAAACCUUGAACUUUUCGCUGUUUAUAUAUACCCAGAGGACGACCUUUUAUGGUAUAACAUGGAUAUUUGGAAGGAUUCUCUAUCAUUGUUGCUACUUUAGAAGCUAUCGUAUUGGGACAACCAGAUGUAGUCAUACUUCGUUUCUUCUUCGGUUAUACAUUUGACCCAAAACUGGUGUUCUACUUGGGCAAACCAUAACGAUGGUCGUUUGGUAUAAAAUAAAGGAAGUUUUAAAAUACAGUGCACUGACGAUAUGUGUUGCUUCAUGGUUGAUUUCCAUCCUCGACAUUUAAAUGUUCGGGGACAUCAAUUUAGGGAUAUCAUUUUCUCUUUUAAAAAAUCCAUUGGUUUGGGGAUUAUAUAAAAUAAUUGAAAUUGAAAGAAUCACUCUUGGCCUUGAGCUUCGUGGAAUCAAAAAAAAGACAUACAUAUAACACUAUUAUCUGGUAUAGUUGAAGGUGAAAUGAAAAAAAAUGAAUUAUAAUGUAAAGUUCGUCAUUGCAAAAUCAGGAGAGGUCAUUAAUGGCCAUUAUGAAUGUGCGGCAAGAAUUGGUUCACAUGGGACCUGUAAACAUGUGGUUUCUGCCCUCCUGAUAAUGGAAAAUUUUGUUUGUAAUGGCAUUGUGUAUAUAUCAAAGUCCUCUAACGAGACGCUACAGACUUUUAAACGUUCAAGAACCCGUAGUGGCUGAAAAACUGUACAGAGUACAAAAACUAAAUUUCAGGUGUCAACAAUGACGAUCAGGG